GAGUUUGAUCUUGGCUCAGGAUGAACGCUGGCGGCGUGCUUAACACAUGCAAGUCGAACGAGAAUCCAGUGAAGGAGUUUUCGGACAACGGAUCUGGAGGAAAGUGGCGGACGGGUGAGUAACGCGUGAGCAAUCUGCCUUGGAGUGGGGAAUAACGGUUGGAAACAGCCGCUAAUACCGCAUGAUGCGUCUGGGAGGCAUCUCUCUGGACGCCAAAAGAUUUAUCGCUCUGAGAUGAGCUCGCGUCUGAUUAGCUUGUUGGCGGGGUAAAGGCCCACCAAGGCGACGAUCAGUAGCCGGACUGAGGGUUGGCCGGCCACAUUGGGACUGAGACACGGCCCAGACUCCUACGGGAGGCAGCAGUGGGGAAUAUUGGGCAAUGGGCGCAAAGCCUGACCCAGCAACGCCGCGUGAAGGAAGAAAGGCUUCGGUUGUAAACGUUCUUUCUCAGGACGAAGAAAGUAGACGGUA
rnacentral:rRNA from 1 species